CCUACGGGAGGCAGCAGUGAGGAAUAUUGGUCAAUGGGCGCGAGCCUGAACCAGCCAAGUCGCGUGAAGGAUGACUGCCCUACGGGUUGUAAACUUCUUUUAUAAGGGAAUAAAGUGAGGCACGUGUGCCUUUUUGUAUGUACUUUAUGAAUAAGAAUCGGCUAACUCCGUGCCAGCAGCCGCGGUAAUACGGAGGAUCCGAGCGUUAUCCGGAUUUAUUGGGGUUAAAGGGAGCGUAGAUGGGUUGUUAAGUCAGUUGUGAAAGUUUGAGGCUCAACCGGAAACGUGCAAUUGAUACUGGCAGCCUUGAGUACAGGUGAGGUAGGCGGAAUUCGUGGUGUAGCGGUGAAAUGCUUAGAUAUCACGAAGAACUCCGAUUGCGAAGGCAGCCUACUAAACUGCCACUGACAUUGAUGCUCGAAAGUGUGGGUAUCAAACAGGAUUAGAUACCCCAGUAGUC
rnacentral:rRNA from 1 species